UACAGAGGUGGCAAGCGUUAUUCGGAAUUAUUGGGCGUAAAGGGCGCGUAGGCGGCUUUUCAAGUGACGGGUGAAAUCCCUCGGCUUAACCGAGGAACUGCCUGUCAGACUGGAAGGCUUGAGACCGGGAGAGGUGAGUGGAAUUCCCAGUGUAGCGGUGAAAUGCGUAGAUAUUGGGAGGAACACCAGUGGCGAAGGCGGCUCACUGGACCGGAACUGACGCUGAGGCGCGAAAGCGUGGGGAGCAAACAGG
rnacentral:rRNA from 1 species